rnacentral:ncRNA from 2 species
GGGGAAGUCCGGUGAGAGUCCGGCGCUGACCCGCAACGGUGUGCGUGGCGACCUGACGGUCCGUCACGCGAGUCCGAUCGCCC